rnacentral:rRNA from 1 species
UACGGGGGGGGCAAGCGUUGUUCGGAAUUACUGGGCGUAAAGGGCUCGUAGGCGGCCAACUAAGUCGGAUGUGAAAUCCCCAGGCUUAACCUGGGAACUGCGUCUGAUACUGGAGGGCUUGAGUGCGGGAGAGGGAUGUGGAAUUCCAGGUGUAGCGGUGAAAUGCGUAGAUAUCUGGAGGAACACCGGUGGCGAAGGCGGCAUCCUGGACCGACACUGACGCUGAGGCGCGAAAGCUAGGGUAGCAAACGGG